UUGACAGCUCUGGAGACUGAAGUCCUCUCUUCACCACCAAAACAGGCUAAGCCAAAGCAUCAUCAAGUCUUCCUCACCAGUGUAAUACUGCAUUGAAAGUGGAAAAGGCCAUAUUGUGGGGUGAAAGGGGAGUUUCAGUCUCCAAAGCCCACUUGGUCAUUUGGCCUUU
rnacentral:sRNA from 1 species